UGUUUUCAUGAGGAAUCUGGAUGAACUUGGCUGGAAAGACUGGGAGGAGCCCUGUGGACUCCAGCAAGCAGAAUGUGCAGCAGGUAGUGAGUGCCGCUCAGGAGACUGUCGUCCAAGUAAACUGCAGAGGAAAUUAUUUCUUAGUUCUGUACAAAAGGAGGCUCUUGGCUCAGUGUGCCUGCAUUCCAAAGCUGAGGAGAGAAGAAAGUGAUUAGUUUUGGAAUGCUGGAUUCACUGUGGUUUGCAGCUCUGGGGUGCUGUGCAGCAGCAGGUGACAAGAAAAACAGAAAGUGAGCAUUCAGAACUGGAGUCUACAGAAAAGCAAACAUCAGGAUUCAGAGACUUGGAGAGCCCUCAUCCAGUGGCUAAUGGAAACAGAGUCAGACACCCACAGCUAUACAC